CUACGGGAGGCUGCAGUGAGGAAUUUUGCGCAAUGGGGGAAACCCUGACGCAGCAACGCCGCGUGAGUGAUGAAGGCUUUCGGGUCGUAAAGCUCUGUCAAGUGGGAAGAACCUACGAGGUGCCAAUACCACCUUGUACUGACGGUACCACUGAAGGAAGCACCGGCUAACUCCGUGCCAGCAGCCGCGGUAAUACGGGGGGUGCAAGCGUUACUCGGAAUCAUUGGGCGUAAAGGGCGCGCAGGCGGCCAGGUAAGUCAGAUGUGAAAGCCCGGGGCUUAACCUCGGAAGUGCAUUUGAUACGACCUGGCUUGAGUAUGGGAGAGGGAAGUGGAAUUCCUGGUGUAGAGGUGAAAUUCGUAGAUAUCAGGAGGAACACCGGUGGCGAAGGCGACUUCCUGGACCAAUACUGACGCUGAGGCGCGAAGGCGUGGGUAGCAAACAGGAUUAGAUACCCUUGUAGUC
rnacentral:rRNA from 1 species